rfam:Papio anubis isolate 1X1155 chromosome 8, whole genome shotgun sequence.
CUGCUGAAGCUGUCAUGUCUAAGAAGAAAACUUUGGAGAAAAAUUUUCUUCUUAGACAUGGCAGCGUCAACAG